UACGUAGGGUGCAAGCGUUGUCCGGAAUUAUUGGGCGUAAAGAGCUCGUAGGCGGUCUGUCGCGUCGGCUGUGAAAACCCGGGGCUCAACCCCAGGCCUGCAGUCGAUACGGGCAGACUAGAGUGUGGUAGGGGAGACUGGAGUUCCUGGUGUAGCGGUGAAAUGCGCAGAUAUCAGGAGGAACACCGGUGGCGAAGGCGGGUCUCUGGGCCAUAACUGACGCUGAGGAGCGAAAGCGUGGGGAGCGAACAGG
rnacentral:rRNA from 1 species